rnacentral:rRNA from 1 species
UACGUAGGGUGCAAGCGUUGUCCGGAAUUAUUGGGCGUAAAGAGCUCGUAGGCGGUCUGUUACGUCGGCUGUGAAAACCUGGGGCUCAACCCCGGGCCUGCAGCCGAUACGGGCAGACUAGAAUUCGGUAGGGGAGACUGGAAUUCCUGGUGUAGCGGUGAAAUGCGCAGACAUCAGGAGGAACACCGGUGGCGAAGGCGGGUCUCUGGGCCGAUAUUGACGCUGAGGAGCGAAAGCGUGGGGAGCGAACAGG